rnacentral:rRNA from 1 species
GCGCAGAGUUUGAUCUGGGCUAGGAGUCGUACCAGGGUAAAUUUGAUCCAGGGUGGGAAUCCUAAAAAAGUAAAAGUUUAAUCCGGCCUUGACUCUGGGAUAAACCUGGAAAAUUGGGUCUAAUACCGGAUAUGACUCCUCAUCGCAUGGUGGGGGGUGGAAAGCUUUUGCGGUUUUGGAUGGACUCGCGGCCUAUCAGCUUGUUGGUGAGGUAAUGGCUUACCAAGGCGACGACGGGUAGCCGGCCUGAGAGGGUGACCGGCCACACUGGGACUGAGACACGGCCCAGACUCCUACGGGAGGCAGCAGUGGGGAAUAUUGCACAAUGGGCGCAAGCCUGAUGCAGCGACGCCGCGUGAGGGAUGACGGCCUUCGGGUUGUAAACCUCUUUCAGUAGGGAAGAAGCGAAAGUGACGGUACCUGCAGAAGAAGCGCCGGCUAACUACGUGCCAGCAGCCGCGGUAAUACGUAGGGCGCAAGCGUUAUCCGGAAUUAUUGGGCGUAAAGAGCUCGUAGGCGGUUUGUCGCGUCUGCCGUGAAAGUCCCGGGGCUCAACUCCGGAUCUGCGGUGGGUACGGGCAGACUAGAGUGAUGUAGGGGAGACUGGAAUUCCUGGUGUAGCGGUGAAAUGCGCAGAUAUCAGGAGGAACACCGAUGGCGAAGGCAGGUCUCUGGGCAUUAACUGACGCUGAGGAGCGAAAGCAUGGGGAGCGAACAGGAUUAGAUACCCUGGUAGUCCAUGCCGUAAACGUUGGGCACUAGGUGUGGGGGACAUUCCACGUUUUCCGCGCCGUAGCUAACGCAUUAAGUGCCCCGCCUGGGGAGUACGGCCGCAAGGCUAAAACUCAAAGGAAUUGACGGGGGCCCGCACAAGCGGCGGAGCAUGCGGAUUAAUUCGAUGCAACGCGAAGAACCUUACCAAGGCUUGACAUGGACCGGACCGCCGCAGAAAUGUGGUUUCUCCUUUUGGGGCCGGUUCACAGGUGGUGCAUGGUUGUCGUCAGCUCGUGUCGUGAGAUGUUGGGUUAAGUCCCGCAACGAGCGCAACCCUCGUUCCAUGUUGCCAGCACGUGAUGGUGGGGACUCAUGGGAGACUGCCGGGGUCAACUCGGAGGAAGGUGGGGACGACGUCAAAUCAUCAUGCCCCUUAUGUCUUGGGCUUCACGCAUGCUACAAUGGCCGGUACAAAGGGUUGCGAUACUGUGAGGUGGAGCUAAUCCCAAAAAGCCGGUCUCAGUUCGGAUUGGGGUCUGCAACUCGACCCCAUGAAGUCGGAGUCGCUAGUAAUCGCAGAUCAGCAUUGCUGCGGGGAAU